GACGAACGCUGGCGGCGUGCUUAACACAUGCAAGUCGAACGGAAAGGCCCUGCUUUUGUGGGGUGCUCGAGUGGCGAACGGGUGAGUAACACGUGAGUAACCUGCCCCUGUCUUUGGGAUAAAUUCAGGAAACUGGGGCUCAUACAGGAUAGGAGCUCCUGCUGCAUGGUGGGGGUUGGAAAGUUUCGGCGGUUGGGGCUGGACUCGCGGCUUAUCAGCUUGUUGGUGGGGUAGUGGCUUACCAAGGCUUUGACGGGUAGCCUGCCUUAGAGGGUAGACGGCCACAUUGGGACUGCGGUACGGCCCAGACUGCAACGUGAGGCAGCAGGGGGGAGUAUUGCACAGUGGGCGGGAGCCUGAGGCAGCAACGCCGCGUUCGGGAUGACGGCCUUCGGGUUGUAAACCGCUUUCGCCUGUGACGAAGCGUGAGUGACGGUAAUGGGUAAAGAAGCACCGGCUAACUACGUG
rnacentral:rRNA from 1 species